rnacentral:rRNA from 1 species
UACGUAGGGUGCAAGCGUUAAUCGGAAUUACUGGGCGUAAAGCGUGCGCAGGCGGUCCGUUAAGACAGAUGUGAAAUCCCCGGGCUUAACCUGGGAACUGCAUUUGUGACUGGCGGACUCGAGUAUGGCAGAGGGGGGUAGAAUUCCACGUGUAGCAGUGAAAUGCGUAGAGAUGUGGAGGAAUACCGAUGGCGAAGGCAGCCCCCUGGGCCAAUACUGACGCU